rnacentral:rRNA from 1 species
AUGAAGACCGAAUCACCGCGUCAUCUUCGUAACCCUCUGCUCGUCCUCCUCUUCCUCGCAGCAGCAGCAGCAGCCCCCGUCGCCCAGAUCGCCAUGGCGGCCGAGCCGGAGCAGGCGCCGGCGGCGCAGGAGGCGGCCGUGCACAUCGUGUACGUGGACCGCCCCGAGGACGCCGACCCCGAGGAGUUCCACAUCCGCACCCUCGCCCCCGUCCUCGGCAGAUUCGUUCUCUUGAGACCUUUUCCGGCUGUGUGUCAAUUUGCUGAUCUGGGGGGAAUUUUGGCAGCGAGGAGAAGGCCAGGGGCGCGGUCCUCUACCACUACAAGCACGCCGCCAGCGGAUUCUCCGCAAAGCUCACCACCGAGCAGGUCGAGGACCUCAAGAAGCAACCAGGUGUCCUUCAGGUUGUGCCGAGCCAGACCGUCCAGCUCCAUGGAAAUGAGGGAGGACAUGCCAAGACAACGCGCACCAUGGGCCUUAUGUGAAAGCCCUGAGUAG